UCNUCUGUGAAAUUCCGGGGCUUAACUUCGGGGUGGCAGGCGAUACGGGCAUAACUAGGGUGCUGUAGGGGAGACUGGAAUUCCUGGUGUAGCGGUGGAAUGCGCAGAUAUCAGGAGGAACACCGAUGGCGAAGGCAGGUCUCUGGNCAGUAACUGACGCUGAGGAGCGAAAGCAUGGGGAGCGAACAGGAUUAGAUACCCUGGUAGUCCAUGCUGUAAACGGUGGGCGUUAGGUGUGGGGACCGGUUUGGUUUCUGUGCCGUAGCUAACGCAUUAAGCGCCCCGCCUGGGGAGUACGGCCGCAAGGCUAAAACUCAAAGGAAUUGACGGGGGCCCGCACAAGCGGCGGAGCAUGUGGAUUAAUUCGAUGCAACGCGAAGAACCUUACCUGGGUUUGACAUGCACCAGACGGUUGUAGAGAUACGUACCUCCCUUUGUGGUUGGUGUGCAGGUGGUGCAUGGUUGUCGUCAGCUCGUGUCGUGAGAUGUUGGGUUAAGUCCCGCAACGAGCGCAACCCUUGUCUUAUGUUGCCAGCACUUUGGGUGGGGACUCAUGAGAGACUGCCGGGGUUAACUCGGAGGAAGGUGGGGAUGACGUCAAAUCAUCAUGCCCUUUAUGCCCAGGGCUUCACACAUGCUACAAUGGUUAGUACAACGCGCUGCGAACCUGUGAGGGUGAGCGAAUCGCUGAAAGCUAAUCUCAGUUCGGAUUGGGGUCUGCAACUCGACCCCAUGAAGUCGGAGUCGCUAGUAAUCGCAGAUCAGCAAUGCUGCGGUGAAUACGUUCCCGGGCCUUGUACACACCGCCCGUCACGUCAUGAAAGUUGGUAACACCCGAAGCCCAUGGCCUAACCACCGUUUGGUGGGGGGAGUGNUCGAAGGUGGGAU
rnacentral:rRNA from 1 species